CGGAAGACUUCGUGUAACGCGUCGUUGGUAUAAUUGCGCGUUGUAAUCGUGAAUGCGUUGUUCUUGUGGUAAUAUGAACAAAGAAAAACAAACGAAUCGAAAUUCAUUGAAUCGGUGAAAGGUGGAUCUAGUUCGGCGACGAGCAGUGCGGUGUAAAGUGUAAGAAACAGUGUUAAACUUCUUGAAAUUGGAAUGCAAACAAACCUAUUAUCGUAAAGUCAAAGGGGAAGACAACCGUUUAUUUAAAACCCGACCCGCAUGCAUAUUGCUGUUCCUGACAACGACAAACAGACAGUCAACGCCUCGUUUAUCGCACGAAAGUAUGAAAAGUAAUUAAAAACGUGUUUCGUUGCUUUCGUGGACAUCACUCUUUCGACGAAAACGCCUGUGCUCCCCUUCGUUCGAAGAAUCACAGAUCGUUCUUUGGUGUUACUGGAUUGGCUUCAUCUGGAUGUAAUUCGACUGAUGAAAUGUUCUCAACUCGUUCAAGAUGAAUGUGACUACCCGUGUGAACGUCCAGCUGUAGCUCGUCGAGGAUACGAUUGGUCGAAGAAGAGUGUCAGCUCCGAACGUUACUAUUUCAUCCAACGUCCUGAGCCAUAAUAAUAGAAGAGCAUCGAGCCUAAUUACGGCCGAUACACAUGUGACCGCUCGUCGAGGCUGCUAGAACGCUAGGUAUCCUUAAAGGCACAUCCACACGCCUUGGAGUGUCGCCCGAGCGAGCGUCUGCCCGCGAUUGCUCGUUAGCGGAGCCACGGCCCCGUGUCUGUCACGAAAUCGCUGAUUAUCAUCGUUCAAGGAAACCACCGACGCUACGUCGCCUCCUAGCUCUCGUAUACCAGCCAUCGCGGUCAUUACUUACUUAUGCCACGGACUGGUAGCCUUAGAAAAGCUGUUGUCCACUGGCGCAGACCGCUCGAUCUAGUUUCGAUUUUCUCAACGAGCUUCCUCCUGGACAACUCUAACUAACGACCGUAUAUUCUACUUUGCACCUGCCACGGUUUCAGAUCAACGUUCUACCCAUUGAUUGGGAAAGACGAGACGGAUUAGUAGCUGACCAAUUCUGUGUACACGUGCCAGCAAAAUUAUUGUUUUUCUUGUUUGGUGUUCGUGUAGGAGAAGGCAGAAAUAAGGAAAAGAAAUUAUCAUGCUGGAGUCUCGCCGGAAGUGUCUUGUAUAAAUACAGCUGUCGCGCGCUACGCAAAAGGAGAGCCGGUGAACGGGGUAAGCGAUACUCCACCAUCGCAGACAUUCUUUCGUCGAAGGAAGAAAGGCGUGAAGAGAGAAGAGGGUUAAAAAAUUUGUGAAAGGAAACCAGAUCUAAAAAUGUCUAAUCCUCCCGAUCUUUUUCGAAACGUUUUUAUCCCUUCUAAUAUUAAAUCGCCAACUUUUGCUACGAAUGUAGGAUAUUAAAACAUUGGGCACGCGAUUCGAGUAAUUUCAGCAGACUAGGGAAGAGAAUAUUGCGAAAUUGGAAAAUUUGUAAGGAAGAUAAUUACAGAUAGAAAAGAUCGAUGAAGAAAGAAACGAUAGAAAAGGAAAUGAAACCACACACGUCAAUGAAAAUUUGAUAAUUAUAACUAUCGAAAGAAUAGAAAAAUGAAAAGUAACUGAGCUGCGAAAUUAACGCAUUUUCAAAUUACUAAAUUGUUAAAUUAACAAAUAAAAUUCUAAACUUUCUUGCGGAACAAUCAUUCUUUGUAUUUAAGAAUUUAACAAAUUGUAAUUAAUUAUAAUAAAUACCACUGGUAUCAUUUAAAAUACAUCCAUCUUACAUCUGAGACAGCAUAAAGCGUGAUUUCCAAAAAACGAAAAUGAAAAGUGAACGCAGGGUAAUUAGACCAUCUUGGAUGCCAUUCGAAAAGGAACCUCGACCCAACGACGAACACGGUACCAGAGUUCGGUCUGGUUCCGAGCGCAUACGCGAAAAACUAAUUACCAUUACGCCUCUCUCGGAGCGGAACCGUCUCGGGAAAAAUGAACAGAAAUGUCCUACACCGUGAUCCCUGUCCCAGCCUCGUUAUUUUUAGUAUCGAGAUACUGGCCGAAGAGAGAAGAGACACGGUCAAAGGGAAGCGACAGACCAACCAGCUAGAAGCAACGUGGAAAGAGUAAAAGAGACAAUUGUGCAACUAAGUAUGUUGUAAUUAAACAGUAGGCAAAGAGAAUCCAGCUACUAUGCAGUGUAUAAGUACACUACCCUUCAUAAGUAUCUGAAUACUUUGUUCAAUUCAAAGUAACGCUCGAACAUGACCAAAAUGCACAAAUGAAUGAUGAAUUAAUAUUAAUUAGAAACAUUAUUACAACAAAUAUUAAUUAGAAAUAUCACUUGAUAUCUUAUUAUAGUAUCAACAGAUCAGAUCAACAGGACAGUAGUAUAUUUUAUUAUUUAUUAUACAUGUUUACACAUAUACACAUAUUACACAUGUUUAUUAUUUAAAUAUCAUUGCUCGCAUUAAAAGAAAUUUCUAUCAAUUUAGAGGAACCUUUGUCAUCUGAUUUGUAAUCCAACAACUACAGAAUCUGAAAAUAGAGCUUGUCAAGAUUUCACAAUUAUAAACGCCAACUUUAUUGUUGCAUAUUAGCUUUUAAAAAACACUUUAAUCGUAACUACGAUAAUUAUAAAAUUCAAUUUAUCUGUACUUUGUGACUGAAAAUAACCGAGUGUCUACUUUUGAACGAUAGUGUACUUGGAAGCUUGUCGAAGUUUCGUAUAGAGACGCGUGUUCACGCGUGCCACCUCGCAUACCUAUACGCACCUCGCACGGCCACUGGUAUUAAAGCUACAUGCAUCGUUGUCCUGGUAAAAGAGGGCCACCGCAUGACCAAGGGAGGAGUACUCUUAAAAUGUUAUGAUGUGGAACUCGUGAUUUCAUGGAACAUUUAAUCACUAUAUUGGUAAAUAGCCGAAACAGGGGUUCUCGGACAUUGGACUGCAAAGGGUAUUCCGUUGCUUUGCUCGAUGCUGAUGCGUACGAACCACGAUCAGGAUUCAACGAUCGUUGAAGAGAAUUUGAAAUGGAGCAUCGAGAAUUUAUGGGCUUCUAUUUGGUAUUUGUGUAGGAUGAAUCAGGCUUGAAACAAAGAUAGAGUAUAAGUAUAUUUGAGAAUAAUGGGUGAAUACGAAUAAUUCGGAAAUAUCAUUUUGUGACAGUUUUUUGUAUAUAUAAAGUAUAUCUAUUGCAUAAAAUAUUUGCCUCGAACGGAAUUUAAUAUCAAAACAUUUGAUCAGAUGAAGAAGCACGAGAUUCAAAUACGAAAACAAAUGUAUCUAAAUCGACGUAUUAUUAUACUAUAUACACACUUGCUACGAAAGAUUGAUCAU
rnacentral:lncRNA from 1 species